rnacentral:tRNA from 2 species
CAUUAGAUGACUGAAAGUAAGUAUUGGUCUCUUAAACCAAAUUAUAAUAAAUUAACAAUUAUUUCUAAUGA